UGUAGGGGUAGAGUUCAGGAAUCAAAAUCGGGGGGCUCAUCUUCUCCUUAUGCAGUUUCUGCUGUGCUACCGUGCUGGUGCUAGCGUCGUGAAUCGAAGGUUAAGGAGAGUCAGACCUCAAGGUCCCACUAUCUCAGGUUGGCAGUCUGCUGUCAGUUGCUUCAAGGGCUCUAUUUCGAAGCCCAAAGGUGUUGUUGCUGCGUGAAUCAUGACUUGCAUCUAGGGCAGUCGCGAUUGAGAAGUUCAACAUCGGAGACUAUAGAAAAAUGGCGAAGACACAGAGGCGGCUGAUGAUUGAUUGAAGAAAGAGUUUUUUGGGAGAGAACGGCACAAAGGCAGUAGGAACGAACGAAGACGCCGGCCUUAUUUGGUAAAAUUGAUGGAGAUGAAAAAUAAUUGGGUCGAGAUGAAAAGAUAAGGAAAAGAAAAGCAGAAAAAAC
rnacentral:lncRNA from 1 species